UGAGGAAUAUUGGUCAAUGGGGGCAACCCUGAACCAGCCAAGUCGCGUGAAGGAUGAAGGUCUUAUGGAUUGUAAACUUCUUUUAUACAGGAAUAAAUUGGGGGACGUGUCCCCUUUUGCAUGUACUGUAUGAAUAAGGAUCGGCUAACUCCGUGCCAGCAGCCGCGGUAAUACGGAGGAUCCGAGCGUUAUCCGGAUUUAUUGGGUUUAAAGGAUGCGCAGGCGGGAUGUUAAGUCGGCGGUGAAAUUUUGCAGCUCAACUGUAAAAGUGCCUUCGAUACUGGCCUCCUUGAGUGUGGAUGAAGUAGGCGGAAUUUGUGGUGUAGCGGUGAAAUGCUUAGAUAUCACGAGGAACUCCGAUUGCGCAGGCAGCUUACUAAGCCACAACUGACGCUCAUGCACGAAGGCGUGGGGAUCAAACA
rnacentral:rRNA from 1 species